AACGAACGCUGGCGGCAUGCCUAACACAUGCAAGUCGAACGAGACCUUCGGGUCUAGUGGCGCACGGGUGCGUAACGCGUGGGAACCUGCCCUUAGGUUCGGAAUAACUCCCCGAAAGGGGUGCUAAUACCGGAUAAUGUCUUCGGACCAAAGAUUUAUCGCCUUUGGAUGGGCCCGCGUUGGAUUAGCUAGUUGGUAGGGUAAAAGCCUACCAAGGCGACGAUCCAUAGCUGGUCUGAGAGGAUGAUCAGCCACACUGGGACUGAGACACGGCCCAGACUACUACGCGAGGCAGCAGUGGGGAAUAUUGGACAAUGGGCAAAAGCCUGAUCCAGCAAUGCCGCGUGAGUGAUGAAGGCCUUAGGGUUGUAAAGCUCUUUUACCCGGGAUGAUAAUGACAGUACCGGGAGAAUAAGCUCCGGCUAACUCCGUG
rnacentral:rRNA from 1 species